rnacentral:rRNA from 1 species
AGGAUAAACGCUGGCGGCGUGCCUAACACAUGCAAGUCGAACGUCCUCUUGUUUUCGGAACGGGAGGGAGUGGCGGACGGGUGAGUAACACAUGGGUGACCUGGCUGAAGUGAGGGAUACCGGCGAGAAAUCGCCGACAAGCCCGCAUAGGUUCUUUCUGGUGAAGCGGAGAGAGCAAAGGUUCCCGCAAAGGGGAUUGCUUUGGGAUGGGCCUGUGGCCGAUUAGCUAGUUGGUGGGGUAAGAGCCUACCAAGGCGACGAUCGGUAGCUGGUCUGAGAGGACGAUCAGCCACACUGGGAUUGAGAACGGCCCAGACUCCUACGGGGGGCAGCAGUGAGGAAUUUUCCGCAAUGGACGCAAGUCUGACGGAGCAACGCCGCGUGCAGGAGGACGCUUUUCGGAGUGUAAACUGCUUUUCCCAGGGAAGAGAGCGGACGGUACCUGGGGAAGAAGCCCCGGCUAACUACGUGCCAGCAGCCGCGGUAAUACGUAGGGGGCGAGCGUUGUCCGGAGUUACUGGGCGUAAAGGGCAUGCAGGCGGUCGUACGCGUUUUGUGUGACAGCGGGUGGCUUAACUACCCGAGUAUGCGAAAGACGGUAUGACUUGAGGGCUCGAGAGGGACACGGAAUUCCGGGUGGAGUGGUGAAAUGCGUAGAGAUCCGGAGGAACACCGAAGGCGAAGGCAGUGUCCUGGCGAGUGACUGACGCUGAGGUGCGAAAGCUAGGGGAGCGAACGGGAUUAGAUACCCCGGUAGUCCUAGCCGUAAACGAUGACCACCAGGUGUGGGAGGUAUCGACCCCUUCCGUGCCGGAGUAAACACACUAAGUGGCCCGCCUGGGGAGUACGGUCGCAAGAUUAAA